ensembl:lncRNA
AAUAGAUGUGUUGAUGUCACGGAGUGACUUUGUAAGGGCGGAACUAAAAAAUGACGGAGAUUGGUUCCGCCCGGACCAUAAUUCUCAAACACCGGGAACUCCGGGAAGGGAAAUCAGGGUUUUAUUGAUCGCAGGUGGAUAGAUGAACGGGGCGAUCGUGGAUUGGGCAGUAUGAAGAGAAGGAGGAGUAUAAAGAGGGCCUCAGAAACUGCAGAGGAGGGGGAAAUUCUUUGUUUUAUUUCAGCCGAUACGGCGAGAGAGUUGGAGUGUUUGGGCGAGUACAGAGGAAAGAAGGCAGAGGAUAUUGUUGGCUGGGCAAAGACGGAGACAAGGGUUUGGCAGAAACAGACACCGGGCUGAGUAUAUUGGAAUGUCUACUUAACUGUGAAAUGCUCCAUGGACAUGUGUAACAAAUUCUGAGUGGUUGAAAACAGGAAGACUCACCGGAAGUAUCGCCGAAGGAGGCCUUUUCGACAGGGCACGUGGCAGCAGGAGAAGUAUCCAGGAGCUGGAAAGAAGAGGGAAAAGAGACCUCGUGUAGUAACGGUGUGAGUACCCUAAACCAUCGUACAGCAGUAUAAUCAUCUAGAGUGAACCAUCUGUGAGCGUUUUGUGAGUUUGUGGCAUAGUAUGUGAGCGGCCCCACCGUGGAGGAGGAUUGUGGGUGAGCCCGGACCAGUGAGCGAGAGAGGAUGUUGGGCUGUUGUGGCGGCAACGUUUAAAUCUGAAUAUUCGUGGCCUCAGUGUCUUCACGACUUCCAGGAAGAGUCUUUGGUCAGACGGGGUGUUGACCCUAAAUUUACCAGAGUGUGUGGAGUGCAGUGGGUGAGUCUUUGUCCUUUGCUGUGAGUGUAUACACUUGAAAAUUGCAGUGUUGUGCUGUGUUGUGUCGUCAACAACCACCUUUCAGGCCCGACGAAAUCCUGUGAAGGAAGUGAAUACCGAGGCGGGCGAAGAAAACAUCUCCAAUUAUAUGCCGUCGAUGACAUCCUGACCCUUCUUCCCCACGUGACGGUGGUGGGAAACAAUUUCAAAUCUCUUGACUUGUCGGUUGGUAGAAAGAAGAGGGAAGCGUUCGACCCAUCCAGUGUAGUACACCCCGGGUGAGACAACUUACCUGUGUGUGACGCCAGCGGAGGCCGUGUUCGGCCCAACGCAACAGUUUUCGAUCCGCCUCUCUAUCAGCAGUUGGUAGAAGCCUCAGAAAAGGAACGUCUGACGUCUAUUCCCUCGAAGGUCUGUGAGUUACAUCACUUCCUGUUUCCCUGUAUAUUCACCGUAAGCGUAUGCCCAAAGCUAAAGUCAGCAUAUUGUGUUGUACACCCACCUGUCUGCCCAGAGUAAAGUCCCAGUUAUAUUGGAUGUACUUACCUUAUGCCCAAAGCUAAAGCCAGCAUAUUGUGUUGCACACUCGCGUGUAUGCCCAAGUGAAGUCCCAGUUACAUUUGAUGUACUUACCUUAUGCCCAAAGCUAAAGCCAGCAUAUUGUGUUGUACACUCGCCUGUAUGCCCAGAGUGAAGUCCCAGUUAUAUUGGAUGUACUUACCUUAUGCCCAAAGCUAAAGCCAGCAUAUUGUGUUGUACACUCGCCUGUCUGCCCAAGUGAAACCCCAGUUGUCUUUCCUACGGACUUACUUGUGCCCCCGAGUGAAGAGCCAGCGGCCCCUCUGUCCACUAUCCGUGUC